rnacentral:lncRNA from 1 species
GGCUUAUUUAUUUUUCAUUUUUGUUAUCUAUCAUACGAUUGGUUGUAUUUGUGCAUGUUUCAAACCGGAAAUCAUAUCUAUGACUAAAAGUCAGUUUGAUGACGGAAUCAAAUCCGGACUUCUUUUUUGUCGUUUUCCUCCCAAAAUAACUCAAUCUGAAUAAUUAUAAGAAUGGAUGACAAAUGCGACUUUGCAUGCUACCUAUAGGACACAGAGGCAUGAUGAUUGAUUUAUUGUGGAAGGAAGAGAAGCGACACACA